ACCUGAUGCCAGAUUUUUCUUCGUCAGAAGUGCCACAUUUUCCGCUUUUGUUGUCCGCUGCGAAAUGACCGCUACCAUGACUUUUUUGGGGUCAAAGUUUCUGAGGGAGGGGCUUAUACAGCAAGAGCCAUAACAAACUCUGGCCACUAAUGAGUACAGAGAGAGAGAAACAGAGUGAGAAAAAGGAUCGCGCAUACGAUCCUAACGCACGAUGGUGGUGGAUACCCACCGCCAACUACUUUUCUUACUCUGUCUCAUCUUCUCCUGCGAAAUAUGGGAAAUGAUUUUGUGUUACAUUUGGCCUGGUUUUUAUCAAGAGCCAAAGAGCGAGUUCAACUGGAAAAUAAGCUCUGAAAACAUUUAUCUAGCACAUGAAGUGGAUUAGUUGCGUUGGUUUGGUGGAAUAUUUGCAAUGAUUCCGGAUUCCAAGUCUGAACUUAAUCCUUCGCAAACUGCCAAACACAUUUCGAAUUUAACGGACCACGACUUGACACUACACAACAGAUUAUUGCUUGUACUGUGUGCCACUCUGGCCACGUUUUGAUUUGGCAAUCGCAAUUUUAAUACGACAUUCGAUAUGCAAAUUGGGAGUAAUGCUUUUGAUACUUUACGUAGAUAACCCAACCUAACAUGUUGUUCAUAUAUUCUGCUGAUAACCAGUAAUCGUAAUACAUUAAUAACCAUCACCACCACCACUUUUUCCUCCAUGCAUGCAUACUUACUUUGAAUGGCUUUAUACAUAUACAUGAAAUGAAACCCAUCACUCACUCCUGAAUUUGCUAAAUUAUACUUGAUUAUGGAGAUUAGCGAUAACGUGAUAAAAUAUUUCAGCAUCUUUAAAGUUCAACAACCAGCUUUCGUAGUAAUAAGUAUCGCAACUCUAAUUCAAUUUGCGUCUAAUUCAACAAUAAGAAUUUGAUAGCUCAUGAAAAUUCUGAGCUCAUGAAAAACACGGCUAUUUAUCAUCGAAAGUCUCUAAUUUCAUCAAGUAUUAAAUAGCUUCAGAGAUACACAUACAUGGCUAAAAAAACUCACUAUAAUGAUUUAACAAGUAACUCCCACAAGCAACACGUUUCUCGUAAAAGAAGGCAGAGUAUUUAUAAAAGGGCACUGAUACCGAAGGGUCCAUGGAAUCCGGAUAAAGUCCGCUGGCAUUUAGUACUACCUCCUGACUACGUGCAGUAAUAGCAACCACCGCUAUUAAUAAUAAUGCUAAUCAUAAUAAUAGUACUCACCAAACUAACCAACACCACUUUGCACCUUUGACUUUUAAAUUUGCAGAGUGUAAAUAUGUCGUCACGGAAUAGGAAUUGUCAGUUUAUUCAGUGAGUCAAGUCAGCCCGUGCGUUUCUGAGACUUGGGAUCCAUUGGGGAAUCUGAACAGUAGAUGGAUCCUUACGGAUCCCUUAUGAUUACAGUAUAUUUCCAAUAAGAUGUGAUGCAUAUAUGCAUUUCAUGUAAAAAAUCCAAUUGGAAAUUUUUAUACAGGAAAAUGACUGCUAGGUCCCCAAUGGAAUUGCUAACGUUAACGGGAUCUGAUUGGAACAUACUUGCAUUACAAAACUCAAUAUCCCAUCUGAAUUAAUCAUAUUGGAUUUAGACGAAAAGGCAUGAAAUAUAUCAAGCAUCCCCGAUAAAUACUGAGCGGCAUAUUUGGAAUUCACUCCUCGUCAUGCUUUUUUAGUUUCUCUUUGGUCAGCCUAAAUUACUCGCUCUGGUCAAUUUUCUAUUCUUUGAAAUAUACCUGCGGUGACAUGACCCAUGUCGUAUGUUGGGAGGACGAAAACUAUUUUGAAUUCGGAACAACGUUCGAAGAUGUAUCGACCCUAUCCGAUUUAAAGCAUUAAAGGAUUACACAACGGAAAUUUUCGGCCUGAAGCCAAAUACUGUUGAGUGGUUAACUUUUGAAAAGAAGCUUCACAAUAUUCCUGGGGAUGCCAGAAAGAAGAUGAAUCGUCUCACAGGUCUGGCUGGAAAUUCUACGAUCAUGUCGCCGGAAUUCAGUUGUUCGAAUUCCGAUGAUUCAGAAACGAGUAUCUCAACUUGGUAGGGGAGAAUUAAGAAUAGUAUAAAAUUUAUUAAUUGGAUUCUUGUAUAAAUAAAUACAUUGAAUUUUUAA